UAAGUGGGUUGAGUGAUCGCUUGCAUCNUUACUUUGUGAAAUGUAAGAGGAAAGUCCGAACUCCUAANGGAAUUGGUGCUGGGUAACCCCCAGGUGUCGAAAGGCAAUGGAAAGUGCCACAGAAAAUAACCGCCAUUAAUAAACACGUGAUAUUAGUGGUAAGGGUGAAAAGGUGGUGUAAGAGACCACCGCAGUUUCUGGUGACAGANGCUGGCAAGGCAAACCCCACCAGGAGAAAGACCAUGUAUAGAAGCUGGUAUCCUUUCCANAUGCUUCGGGGUAGGUCGCUUGAGAUGAUAAGUAAUUAUUGUCCUAGAUAGAUGAUCACAUAAAACAGAAUUCGGCUUACUAACCCACUUACUUU
rnacentral:RNase_P_RNA from 1 species